GCCAUCUUUAUCUUGGGGUAGCGUAGUUAUUCAAUGAACGUUUAGUGAGAGUAACUCUGCUAACGCCUAACACAACACAUCGCAUCACCUCGAGUUAUAAGCUUGAGUAAUGGUGCAAUUUUUGGAAUA